rnacentral:rRNA from 1 species
GGUACCCAUUAACCUUCACAUUACUUUAGAGCAAUUCAAAUGAGGUACAGCCCAUUUGACAAAGGAUACAACCUUCACUAACGGGUAACAUUUAAUUUACAUCCUCAAGUGGGCUUAAGAGCAGCCACCUUUCUAAAAGCGUCAAAGCUUAAUUAUAUUCAUGUCAUUAACUCAAAAAUCAACAUUGACCCCUUUAAUCGUACUGAGAACUUCUAUAAUAUUAUAGAACCUUUUAUGCUAAAACUAGUAACAAGAGUAAUUACCCUCUCUUUAAUGCAAACAUAAGCCAGCAAGAACCCCUCACUGGCAAUUAACAAACCUAAACAAAAGAAGCAACCUCACUAGAAAACCCUUCUAUUUCAUUUGUUAACCUAACACCAGAGCAUUUCAAGAAAGAUUAAAAGAAAAAGAAGGAACUCGGCAAACCCUAGCCCCGCCUGUUUACCAAAAACAUCGCCUCUUGACCCCAUAAGAGGUUCAGCCUGCCCAGUGACUCUGUUUAACGGCCGCGGUAUCCUAACCGUGCAAAGGUAGCGUAAUCACUUGUUUUCUAAAUAAAGACCAGUAUGAAAGGCAUCACGAGGACUAAACUGUCUCCUUUUUCCAAUCAGUGAACCUAAUUUCCCCGUGAAGAAGCGGGGAUAAGUCUAUAAGACGAG